AUGACCCUCCAUGCUGGUUGAAUUCAAUUUAUGAGAUCCUGACAACAUUAUUGUUCUCUCUUGCAGGAGUUCACACCACAUUCCAGACACCUGAGGGUCCUGAAUGUCGAAACAGCAGGACUUACAAGAGUUUGAGAGUUAUUUCAUUUACCGGAAAAUGCAGUGUUCCAUCUGAAACAUAAAUUAUAAAUUAUAUUGAAUCUACUAACACAGAAUGUUCUGUUCUCAAUGAGUUUACACAAAACAGGUGAAGAAGCAAAGACCAGCAGUCUAAGAUCCAGGCACAAACUUGGUGGCGUAGACCCAUGCGUUAUUAGCAACUGGGUUGUCAAGGUGGUCCAAGAGGUUCUCAAGGGGGCCUUUUCCGGUCACAAUAGCUUGGACAAAGAAGCCAAACAUGGAGAACAUGGCUAGCCGUCCAUUCUUGAUUUCCUUGACCUUGAGCUCAGCAAAUGUGACCGGGUCAUCAGCGAGGCCAAGAGGAUCGAAGUAUUGUCCACCAGGGUACAGGUUGUUGCCAUCUCCAACUCCAGGAAGGCCAUUAAUGCGGAAGCCCUCAACAAGACCCAUGAGGACAACUUGGAAGCCGAGGACUGCCAGAAUGCUCUGGGCAUGAACAAG
rnacentral:lncRNA from 1 species